rnacentral:siRNA from 1 species
CAACAGUCUGCCAAUCGAAGUAGU